UUAAACUGAAGAGUUUGAUCAUGGCUCAGAUUGAACGCUGGCGGCAGGCUUAACACAUGCAAGUCGAGCGG
rnacentral:rRNA from 2 species